CAACAGUAUUUGAGUGAACAUGGCCCCUCUGCUGUUGUGGUGCCUGGCUGUGGCCAAUCUUGUGGCUGUGGACUCGUGUGCCCAGGACCCAGAGGCUCCUCCGACACCUAUCAUAAUGAACCAGGAAGGCGGAGUGAACACUGUGACGCCCAUCAUCAUGAAUGAGGGACCAGAGCAGCCCAGCCCUGGCAUCACAGUCAUCUCAGGAAGGAAGAGGAGAGCCGCGGUUCAUCCAAAAAGAAGUG